rnacentral:rRNA from 1 species
GAAUAUUGGACAAUGGGGGGAACCCUGAUCCAGCCAUGCCGCGUGUGUGAAGAAGGCCUUUUGGUUGUAAAGCACUUUAAGCGAGGAGGAGGCUACUUCUAUUAAUACUCUUGGAUAGUGGACGUUACUCGCAGAGUAAGCCCCGGCUAACUCCGUUCCAGCCGCCGCGGUAGUACAGAGGGUGCAUGCGUUAGUCGGAUUUACUGGGCGUAAAGCGGGCGUAGGUGGCCAAUUAAGUCAAAUGUGAAAUCCCCGAGCUUAACUUGGGAAUUGCAUUCGAUACUGGUUGGCUAGAGUAUGGGAGAGGAUGGUAGAAUUCCAGGUGUAGCGGUGAAAUGCGUAGAGAUCUGGAGGAAUACCGAUGGCGAAGGCAGCCAUCUGGCCUAAUACUGACACUGAGGUGCGAAAGCAUGGGGAGCAAACA